UGUGAACGAGAAAAUCUCUUGUAUAUUUAUCCCAAGAGAUCUUAUUAUUCAAAAUAAAGCAAACCGAAAUACACUCACAUAAUUUAUAGGCUAUGGUGCCCUUGACAUCCUUUUACUUUAAUACUGCAUUUAACCAGAUUCAUCAGUGUUUCUGCCAUAUUGAGGGACUACAAGAAGAUCAAGAUUAUUAUUUCCCAUCCCAUCAUCAAUCAUACAGCCAUGAAAUGGAGCGAUGCUAGCCUCCAACCAUUCCUUAUUGCCUGAAAAUUUCAAAUUAGAAAACAUGUUCGUAAAGGCAUAUAUUAAUAUAAGAAUUGUAAAUGUAAUUCAUCUUAAUAUGGCCUGAUGAAUUACCUGCACAAAUAGUUUCCAUGUUCGUCAAAUCAGAAAAGAUCUCCGCUAGCUUCUGCACAAGUAAUUACGUAGCUUUCGCGAGUCCUUUGAUUGUGGUUGCUUCCAGUGUGAUAUGACACAAUAUAUAGACAUAGGUAGCCGACAUGAAGCUAUAUAAUAG
rnacentral:lncRNA from 1 species